AUAAAUUUUCAAUUUAGUUUUGAUCUUUUGUUUUUAAGGUUUCAAUUUGAUUUUAAAUUUGUACUGGGCAUAUAUUAAUAUUAAUUGAUUAUUUUUCUUUGAUUUGAUUCUUUUUUGUUGUUUUGGAGGCAUCAGAUGUAAUUAUAGAUAUGAACAAUGAACCAAGACAUAGCAAUUCAACAAAAAAAAAAAAAAAAAAAGACAUAUUUUAUUUGGUUCAGGCUUCAUGAGGUCACUACCUAGUGGCUUUUUUUGUUUGUUAUGGAACUUGUGGAGGAAUCCUAUAAUAAAAAAGCACAAAAGGACAAAACAUGAUGCUGGAAGUGAAAAUCAUGUUUUUCUAUACCUUUUUUUUUUGGAACUGCAAUUUCAUUACAUGGCCCUGUUCGGGCAUCAAGCUGACAAACAUGAUCAAGAGUUUUGGGAAAGGCCACUAGCCAAUUACAGGUCAAUUGAUUGCUAAAACAGAGUUUGGCAAAGUGGUGAGCAGCUAAAUUGGCCUUUCUGCAAGUUUUCCUGUACAGUGGUCAGCUAUUGCAAGUUUUGCAGGGAUAAUCUCUUACUUUCCAAAUUGAAUAUAAUUCUAACUUUUCUACAAUUUGGAUGACCAUUUUGGAGUUUCCAUAAUCUGACAGACUCCUGGUCCCUAUAGCGUUGAUUACUUGAGAAAAAAAAAACAUGACUAAUCUGACACUAAACCUGCUGAUUCUGAAGUUUUGCUAUGCAGUAUUAAAGGUCAAGAAAGUUAGGGCAAUGAUGGGGGGGCCUGGGACCAUUUUGUCCGCUAUUAGAAGAAAAUUUGGGUUUUCCAAGUUUUGGCAAUAGAGAUUGCCUAAAGAGUCAUAAUCUAAAUUUUGUUCUCUAAUGGCAGA